GAAAUACCGAAUAGGCUCAAAAACCAUAAUCAAAUAAUGAACCGAAUUUAAUUCGGUUAUUUUACCGAACCGAAUUUUUUAUUUCGGUUAAAACCGAAUACCGAAAAAAAAACCGAAAUUUUAUAAAAGUGAACAAAAAUCACAAAAACAAUAGCGAAAAAUCACUAAAAUAAUGAAGAAAAACAUCACUGCAUCAUUUAAACUAGUCAUCAAUAACAACACUUCAAAGUAUCUACAUUAACAGUUUGACGCAACAAAACACCCACUCAUGAGUCGAACUAAAUAACCCAUGAGUUCAACUGAACUGGGUUUCCCAAAAAUCGAAGGUGAAGUUCGAUUGAAUUGACAGCAUACCUUAAUCGUCAAACGAUUAUGGUGAAGAAGACGGCAAGAUGGUGUGUAAUGAGCCGCCGGGGUCGCAUCGAAGGUGAAGGUGAAUCGUUGAGCGUGUGUAGGGGGCUGGUUUGGGGGUUGUUUGAACUUUUAAUUGAACUGCCGAACUGGGUUAGCCAUUAGUGUGCCUCAG
rnacentral:lncRNA from 1 species